CAAAACAUAUACCUAAGCAGUAAAUUAUACCAAAAAUCUUAAGAUUAGCAAGGCUUAACUAUGAACAUCUACAACACUUCCUCACGUUGUUCACGAUUAUCGAGGCAGAUGGUUAGGCCUUUCAGGCCAUGCUUCCAGGACAACAUUAUAAUCCAGAAGUAUAGUAAUUAUGGUGGAGAAGGAACCAGAAAUGGGCCUGUUAGUGGGCAGGAACAUCACGAAGAUCAGGAGGGUAUACCCCGAGCUCCUUCCACUGCGGACGAAUUCAAGAGGGUUGCUGAGGAGAAGGCCAAACAAGGCGUGAGGAGCCAGACUGUUGAAAAAGCAGAAGAUGCGACCCUGGAAGCAACCAUUGGCGACUCCUCUGACUUUGAAUCCAUCAAAGAAACUUACAAGGAACCUGUUGGAAAAGGUAAAUCUCACUAGACAGAGGAUGUCUAGAUUAUCUACGGAAUAACACCCUCCUUGCUCCCUAGCUUGUUGCUAAAUGCUAAUAAUAAUACUUAAUUUUCUUGUGAAACUUACAAAAAGCUGUAUUAAUAAAUCAGACUGCGCACUAGCUCAGUGGAAUUCAACAAUAUUUGUUAAUAUACUCUUAUCAUUUACUUGUU